rnacentral:rRNA from 1 species
AGUGGAGUGAUGAGUGCUGGAUAAAUUGCUAGCGGCGGACGGGUGCGUAACACGUGGGUAACCUGCCCCUAUCACUGGGAUAACACACUGAAAAGUGUGCUAAUACCAGAUAACAUAGGCUUUUGGCAUCAUUAGCUUAUCAAAGAAUUUCGGAUAGGGAUGGGCCCGCGUCUGAUUAGCUAGUUGGUGAGGUAACGGCUCACCAAGGCAACGAUCAGUAGCCGACCUGAGAGGGUGAUCGGCCACACUGGAACUGAGACACGGUCCAGACUCCUACGGGAGGCAGCAGUGGGGAAUAUUGCACAAUGGGCGAAAGCCUGAUGCAGCAACGCCGCGUGAGCGAUGAAGGCCUUCGGGUCGUAAAGCUCUGUCCUAUGGGAAGAUAAUGACGGUACCAUAGGAGGAAGCCCCGGCUAACUACGUGCCAGCAGCCGCGGUAAUACGUAGGGGGCAAGCGUUAUCCGGAAUUACUGGGCGUAAAGGGUGCGUAGGCGGUUUAUCAAGUCAGGGGUGAAAGGCUACGGCUCAACCGUAGUGAGCCUCUGAAACUGGUGAACUUGAGUGUAGGAGAGGAAAGUGGAAUUCCCAGUGUAGCGGUGAAAUGCGUAGAUAUUGGG